GACGAACGCUGGCGGCGUGCCUAAUACAUGCAAGUAGAACGCACAGUUUAUACCGUAGCUUGCUCCACCAUAGACUGUGAGUUGCGAACGGGUGAGUAACGCGUAGGUAACCUGCCUGGUAGCGGGGGAUAACUAUUGGAAACGAUAGCUAAUACCGCAUAAUAUUGAUUAUUGCAUGAUAAUUAAUUGAAAGGUGCAAUUGCACCACUACCAGAUGGACCUGCGUUGUAUUAGCUAGUAGGUGAGGUAACGGCUCACCUAGGCGACGAUACAUAGCCGACCUGAGAGGGUGAUCGGCCACACUGGGACUGAGACACGGCCCAGACUCCUACGGGAGGCAGCAGUAGGGAAUCUUCGGCAAUGGACGAAAGUCUGACCGAGCAACGCCGCGUGAGUGAAGAAGGUUUUCGGAUCGUAAAGCUCUGUUGUAAGAGAAGAACGGGUGUGAGAGUGGAAAGUUCACACUGUGACGGUAUCUUACCAGAAAGGGACGGCUAACUACAUG
rnacentral:rRNA from 1 species